AUAUUUUAAUUUUUUUUAAAAAAAUUUCUUUAAAUUUGCAAUUUAAUAUUUUAUAAACUAUAAAAUAAA
rnacentral:tRNA from 1 species